UUUAUGGAGAGUUUGAUCCUGGCUCAGGAUGAACGCUGGCGGCGUGCCUAAUACAUGCAAGUCGAGCGAACAGACAAGGAGCUUGCUCCUUUGACGUUAGCGGCAGACGGGUGAGUAACACGUGGGUAACCUACCUAUAAGACUGGGAUAACUUCGGGAAACCGGAGCUAAUACCGGAUAAUAUUUCGAACCGCAUGGUUCGAUAGUGAAAGAUGGUUUUGCUAUCACUUAUAGAUGGACCCGCGCCGUAUUAGCUAGUUGGUAAGGUAACGGCUUACCAAGGCGACGAUACGUAGCCGACCUGAGAGGGUGAUCGGCCACACUGGAACUGAGACACGGUCCAGACUCCUACGGGAGGCAGCAGUAGGGAAUCUUCCGCAAUGGGCGAAAGCCUGACGGAGCAACGCCGCGUGAGUGAUGAAGGUCUUCGGAUCGUAAAACUCUGUUAUUAGGGAAGAACAUACGUGUAAGUAACUAUGCACGUCUUGACGGUACCUAAUCAGAAAGCCACGGCUAACUACGUGCCAGCAGCCGCGGUAAUACGUAGGUGGCAAGCGUUAUCCGGAAUUAUUGGGCGUAAAGCGCGCGUAGGCGGUUUUUUAAGUCUGAUGUGAAAGCCCACGGCUCAACCGUGGAGGGUCAUUGGAAACUGUAAAACUUGAGUGCAGAAGAGGAAAGUGGAAUUCCAUGUGUAGCGGUGAAAUGCGCAGAGAUAUGGAGGAACACCAGUGGCGAAGGCGACUUUCUGGUCUGUAACUGACGCUGAUGUGCGAAAGCGUGGGGAUCAAACAGGAUUAGAUACCCUGGUAGUCCACGCCGUAAACGAUGAGUGCUAAGUGUUAGGGGGUUUCCGCCCCUUAGUGCUGCAGCUAACGCAUUAAGCACUCCGCCUGGGGAGUACGACCGCAAGGUUGAAACUCAAAGGAAUUGACGGGGACCCGCACAAGCGGUGGAGCAUGUGGUUUAAUUCGAAGCAACGCGAAGAACCUUACCAAAUCUUGACAUCCUUUGACAACUCUAGAGAUAGAGCCUUCCCCUUCGGGGGACAAAGUGACAGGUGGUGCAUGGUUGUCGUCAGCUCGUGUCGUGAGAUGUUGGGUUAAGUCCCGCAACGAGCGCAACCCUUAAGCUUAGUUGCCAUCAUUAAGUUGGGCACUCUAAGUUGACUGCCGGUGACAAACCGGAGGAAGGUGGGGAUGACGUCAAAUCAUCAUGCCCCUUAUGAUUUGGGCUACACACGUGCUACAAUGGACAAUACAAAGGGCAGCGAAACCGCGAGGUCAAGCAAAUCCCAUAAAGUUGUUCUCAGUUCGGAUUGUAGUCUGCAACUCGACUACAUGAAGCUGGAAUCGCUAGUAAUCGUAGAUCAGCAUGCUACGGUGAAUACGUUCCCGGGUCUUGUACACACCGCCCGUCACACCACGAGAGUUUGUAACACCCGAAGCCGGUGGAGUAACCAUUUGGAGCUAGCCGUCGAAGGUGGGACAAAUGAUUGGGGUGAAGUCGUAACAAGGUAGCCGUAUCGGAAGGUGCGGCUGGAUCACCUCCUUUCU
rnacentral:rRNA from 1 species